UGCCGGCGAGCGGCGGACGGGUGAGUAAUGUCUGGGAAACUGCCUGAUGGAGGGGGAUAACUACUGGAAACGGUAGCUAAUACCGCAUGACCUCGCAAGAGCAAAGUGGGGGACCUUCGGGCCUCACGCCAUCGGAUGUGCCCAGAUGGGAUUAGCUAGUAGGUGGGGUAAUGGCUCACCUAGGCGACGAUCCCUAGCUGGUCUGAGAGGAUGACCAGCCACACUGGAACUGAGACACGGUCCAGACUCCUACGGGAGGCAGCAGUGGGGAAUAUUGCACAAUGGGCGCAAGCCUGAUGCAGCCAUGCCGCGUGUGUGAAGAAGGCCUUCGGGUUGUAAAGCACUUUCAGCGAGGAGGAGGGCAGUCGUGUUAAUAGCACGAUUGAUUGACGUUACUCGCGGAAGAAGCACCGGCUAACUCCGUGCCAGCAGCCGCGGUAAUACGGAGGGUGCAAGCGUUAAUCGGAAUUACUGGGCGUAAAGCGCACGCAGGCGGUUUGUUAAGUCAGAUGUGAAAUCCCCGCGCUUAACGUGGGA
rnacentral:rRNA from 1 species